UACCCGCAGCACAAGUGGUGGCCAUUAUUAUUGGGCCUAAAGCGUCCGUAGCUUGCGUGUUAGAUGCCUGGGUAAAUCGAUGGGCUUAACCCAUCGAAUUCCGGGUAGACCGGCACGCUCGAGACCGGGAGAGGUGUAGGGUACUCGGGGGGUAGGGGUAAAAUCCUGUAAUCCUCCGGGGACGACCAGUGGCGAAGGCGCUACACUAGAACGGCUCUGACAGUGAGGGACGAAGCCCUGGGGCGCAAACCGG
rnacentral:rRNA from 1 species